AUUGAACGCUGGCGGCAUGCCUUACACAUGCAAGUCGAACGGUAACAGGUCUUCGGAUGCUGACGAGUGGCGAACGGGUGAGUAAUGCAUCGGAACGUGCCCAGUUGUGGGGGAUAACUGCUCGAAAGAGCAGCUAAUACCGCAUACGACCUGAGGGUGAAAGCGGGGGAUCGCAAGACCUCGCGCAAUUGGAGCGGCCGAUGUCAGAUUAGGUAGUUGGUGGGGUAAAGGCCUACCAAGCCGACGAUCUGUAGUUGGUCUGAGAGGACGACCAGCCACACUGGAACUGAGACACGGUCCAGACUCCUACGGGAGGCAGCAGUGGGGAAUAUUGGACAAUGGGGGAAACCCUGAUCCAGCAACGCCGCGUGGGGGAUGAAGGUCUUCGGAUUGUAAACCCCUGUUGGGAGGGGCGAAGGCUUCCGGGCGAACAGUCCGGAAGCUUGACGGUACCUCCAGAGAAAGCCCCGGCUAACUCUGUGCCAGCCGCCGCCGUAAGAC
rnacentral:rRNA from 1 species